rnacentral:tRNA from 1 species
AUUUUUAUGGUGUAAAUUAUCACGUUAUUUUUUCAAGAUAAAAUUGAAGGUUCUUCUAGAAAUA